CUGGCUCAGAUUGAACGCUGGCGGCAUGCCUUACACAUGCAAGUCGAACGGUAACAGGUCUUCGGACGCUGACGAGUGGCGAACGGGUGAGUAAUACAUCGGAACGUGCCCAGUCGUGGGGGAUAACUACUCGAAAGAGUAGCUAAUACCGCAUACGAUCUGAGGAUGAAAGCGGGGGACCUUCGGGCCUCGCGCGAUUGGAGCGGCCGAUGGCAGAUUAGGUAGUUGGUGGGAUAAAAGCUUACCAAGCCGACGAUCUGUAGCUGGUCUGAGAGGACGACCAGCCACACUGGGACUGAGACACGGCCCAGACUCCUACGGGAGGCAGCAGUGGGGAAUUUUGGACAAUGGGCGAAAGCCUGAUCCAGCAAUGCCGCGUGCAGGAUGAAGGCCUUCGGGUUGUAAACUGCUUUUGUACGGAACGAAAAAGCUCCUUCUAAUACAGGGGGCCCAUGACGGUACCGUAAGAAUAAGCACCGGCUAACUACGUGC
rnacentral:rRNA from 1 species